AGAGUUUGAUCAUGGCUCAGGAUGAACGCUAGCGACAGGCCUAACACAUGCAAGUCGAGGGGCAUCGGGACGUAGCAAUACGUUGCCGGCGACCGGCGGAUGGGUGAGUAACGCGUAUGCAACCUACCCGUAGCAGGGGGAUAGCCCGUUGAAAGACGGAUUAAUACCCCGUAACACAGGGGCUCCGCAUGGAGAUUAUUGUUAAAGGGUCAUUUCUUUUUCAGGGAUGGUCCGGCUGCGGAUGGGCAUGCGUUCCAUUAGGUAGUUGGUGUAGGUAACUGCUCACCAAGCCGACGAUGGAUAGGGGAACUGAGAGGUUGGUCCCCCACACUGGUACUGAGACACGGACCAGACUCCUACGGGAGGCAGCAGUGAGGAAUUUUGGUCAAUGGACGCAAGUCUGAACCAGCCAUGUCGCGUGAAGGAGGACGGCCCUAAGGGUUGUAAACUUCUUUUGCAGUGGAAUAAAGUUUGCCACGUGUUGGCGAUUUGCAAGUACGCUGCGAAUAAGGAUCGGCUAACUCCGUGCCAGCAGCCGCGGUAAU
rnacentral:rRNA from 1 species